UACGUAGGGUCCGAGCGUUGUCCGGAAUUAUUGGGCGUAAAGAGCUUGUAGGCGGUUUGUCGCGUCUGCUGUGAAAACUCGAGGCUUAACCUCGAGCUUGCAGUGGGUACGGGCAGACUAGAGUGUGGUAGGGGAGACUGGAAUUCCUGGUGUAGCGGUGAAAUGCGCAGAUAUCAGGAGGAACACCGAUGGCGAAGGCAGCAUCCUGGACCAACACUGACACUGAUGAGCGAAAGCCCAGGGGAGCAAACGGG
rnacentral:rRNA from 1 species